GUAGGUGAACCUGCGGAAGGAUCAUUAAACGUAUCCACGUAUAACCCAAUGCGAACUGUUUUCUUCUAAACAGGCUUGCGAAUGGUGCGCGCUUGAGAUCAGCGUGAGUGCACAGGUGAGCCUUCGGGCUCAGAGCUCUGCUGGUCGAUGCGCACGUAUUGCAGGUUUUCAAAUUUCCAAUCCUGUGAUGUUUAACAAUUCUUUACUCUUUUGUAAAUGCUAGUUGAACAAUCGUGCAAACCAAUGGUUG
rnacentral:misc_RNA from 1 species